AGUGAACGCUGGCGGUAGGCCUAACACAUGCAAGUCGAACGGCAGCACAGUAAGAGCUUGCUCUUACGGGUGGCGAGUGGCGGACGGGUGAGGAAUACAUCGGAAUCUACUUUUUCGUGGGGGAUAACGUAGGGAAACUUACGCUAAUACCGCAUACGACCUACGGGUGAAAGCAGGGGAUCUUCGGACCUUGCGCGAUUGAAUGAGCCGAUGUCGGAUUAGCUAGUUGGCGGGGUAAAGGCCCACCAAGGCGACGAUCCGUAGCUGGUCUGAGAGGAUGAUCAGCCACACUGGAACUGAGACACGGUCCAGACGCCUACGGGAGGCAGCAGUGGGGAACAUUGGACAAUGGGCGCAAGCCUGAUCCAGCCAUACCGCGUGGGUGAAGAAGGCCUUCGGGUUGUAAAGCCCUUUUGUUGGGAAAGAAAAGCAGCAGGUUAAGACCCCGCUGUUCUGACGGUACCCAAAGAAUAAACACCGGCUAACUUCGU
rnacentral:rRNA from 1 species